rnacentral:rRNA from 2 species
CCCUUAGAGUUUGAUCCUGGCUCAGAUUGAACGCUGGCGGCAGGCCUAACACAUGCAAGUCGAGCGGUAACAGAUUGAUAGCUUGCUAUCGAUGCUGACGAGCGGCGGACGGGUGAGUAAUGCCUGGGAAUAUGCCCUGAUGUGGGGGAUAACUAUUGGAAACGAUAGCUAAUACCGCAUAAUCUCUUUGGAGCAAAGAGGGGGACCUUCGGGCCUCUCGCGUCAGGAUUAGCCCAGGUGGGAUUAGCUUGUUGGUGGGGUAAUGGCUCACCAAGGCAACGAUCCCUAGCUGGUCUGAGAGGAUGAUCAGCCACACUGGAACUGAGACACGGUCCAGACUCCUACGGGAGGCAGCAGUGGGGAAUAUUGCACAAUGGGGGAAACCCUGAUGCAGCCAUGCCGCGUGUAUGAAGAAGGCCUUCGGGUUGUAAAGUACUUUCAGUUGUGAGGAAGGCAGUAAAGUUAAUAGCUUUGCUGUUUGACGUUAGCAACAGAAGAAGCACCGGCUAACUCCGUGCCAGCAGCCGCGGUAAUACGGAGGGUGCGAGCGUUAAUCGGAAUUACUGGGCGUAAAGCGCAUGCAGGUGGUCUGUUAAGCAAGAUGUGAAAGCCCGGGGCUCAACCUCGGAACAGCAUUUUGAACUGGCAAACUAGAGUACUGUAGAGGGGGGGUAGAAUUUCAGGUGUAGCGGUGAAAUGCGUAGAGAUCUGGAAGGAAUACCCGGUGGGCGAAGGCGGCCCCCCUGGACAGAUACUG